GACAGAGGGUGCAAACGUUGUUCGGAAUUACUGGGCGUAAAGCGUGUGUAGGCGGCCCUGCAAGUCGGAUGUGAAAGCCCCGGGCUCAACCCGGGAAGUGCACCCGAAACUGCAGGGCUCGAGUACCGGAGAGGUUGGCGGAAUUCUCGGUGUAGAGGUGAAAUUCGUAGAUAUCGAGAGGAACACCGGUGGCGAAGGCGGCCAACUGGACGAGUACUGACGCUGAGACACGAAAGCGUGGGGAGCAAACAGG
rnacentral:rRNA from 1 species